UAGUUGGUAAGGUAACGGCUUACCAAGGCGACGAUCAGUAGCCGACCUGAGAGGGUGAUCGGCCACAUUGGAACUGAGACACGGUCCAAACUCCUACGGGAGGCAGCAGGGGGGAAUAUUGCACAAUGGGCGAAAGCCUGAUGCAGCAACGCCGCGUGAGUGAUGAAGGCCUUCGGGUCGUAAAACUCUGUCCUCAAGGAAGAUAAUGACGGUACUUGAGGAGGAAGCCCCGGCUAA
rnacentral:rRNA from 1 species